rnacentral:tRNA from 1 species
GGGGUUGUGGCUCAGUGGUAGAGCACUUGCUUGGCAUGUAAGGCACUGGGUUCGCUCCUCAGCACCA